AUAAUCAUUUAGAAAAGUCAACCUGUACGGGUAGCAUUCAUUUCACGCUAGUGCACUCAGGCAUGUCAGGUGGACAGGAACUUGCUCUACCCCAUGUGGAGCCAGCAUUCUGCGCGCUAGAAGUUGAGUGCGAGAAGUAGACUGUCUUCUCAAGCAUGUUAGCUGGGAGUGUGCCAAUUUUGGCCCCAAAGAACACCUGUUCUGCACACUCCACAAAAUGGCCCUCGUGGCCAGCACUACUCAGACCUGUAGGCCGGGAAGAAGCUGGUUUUAGUCCAGAGCAGCAAGCAUUCCGCUCACCACACAAAACGCCAUUCAGACUAGAGCACAAUAAGUAGGAUGUAGUCUACACAUUCCUGCUGGACAGAAGAGUGACUAUACUGGCCCAGAGCAGCAAGUGUUGUGCUGUCUAAACAAAACACUCUUCAGGACCAAGCACUGUUUGCCGGAAAGAAUCUGAUUAUAGCCUGGAGCAGCAAGAAUUCUGCUCGCCAUGCAAAACGGCGUUCGAACUCGACCUAAGGAACUAAAAUGUUACUCAGGCCUGUUUGCUGGCAGUGUGCUGAUUUUGGCCCAAAACAGCAACUGUUCUGAACACUUGACAAAACAGCCUUCAGAGCCAACCACUACUCAGAUCUGUUUUCCGUGAAGAAGCUGGUUUCAGCCCAGAGCAGGAAGCAUUCCGCUCACCAGGCGAGAUGGUGUUCAGACUCGACAACAGGAAGUAGGAUGUUAACUCAAUCCUACUGGCUGGAGGUUGACUAUAUUGGUCCAGGGCAGCAGGUAUUCGGCUCGCUAACAAAACAGCCUUCACGGCCAAGUACUACUCAGGCCUGUUGUCUAGAAAGGAGCUGAAUUUGGUGCAGAGUAGCAAGCAUCCUGCUCACUAGAUAAAACAGUCUUCAAACUCGAGCACAAGAGAUGGGACUGCCCACUUUGCGGUGAGGAGCAUUUUGGUCCAGAACAGCAACUGCCCUUCUGGCUAGACAAAUUGGCCUUCGGUGUCUAGUACUACUCAGAAAUGUUGGCCAGGAAGGAGCUAAUUUUACCUUGAAGAAGUCAGCAUUCCGCAGACCAUGCAGAACGGUCUUCAGUCUCGAGAACAAGGAGAAUGGUGUGCUUGUUUGUCGUGGUCAGGCCUAAUGUCCCAUGUGACGGGUCAGCCAGCAGUGACAAAGUCAUUACUAUUGGGGAGGACACCCACCUUCCAGGCAACGGGGACAGCUUAUCACCGACGAGGAUUUUUUUCCUGUUGUGGGGGGUAUCCGCCUACUAUAAGUGCAGCCAACAGACUAGCAGCACCACAUGCCGAUGUCAUGGACACUGACAAGACACCACCUAUUGGCUGGAGACGCUGUGGUUCUGCUGCUACAACAGAAACAUUACGUCAUUGUUCCUCUGGUGGACCUGUAUCGUCCUGGAUCGCAAGUCUGAUGAACGGGUAGCGAAGAACGAAGACUGGUC